GUCGGGGGCGGCGGGAGGGACCCGGGACUUCGCAUGCAUGAAGCCGCCGGCCCUGGGCGCCCUCGUGUUUGAGGCCGCGAGGUCCAUGGGUGAACCCGGGUGCGCCGCCCUGGCCGCCGCUGUCCGCUUCAGGGGGCCGGGCCUUAACCACGCGGCUCGGCAGCGCCAGUAGAAAGCGGUUUAGCAGGCUGGGCGCGGUGGCUCAGGCCUGUAAUCCUAGCACUUUGGGAGGCCGAGGCGGGCGGAUCACGGGGUCGGGAGAUCGAGACCAUCCUGGCUAACGCGGUGAAACCGUUAAAAAAAAAAAAAAAAAAAAAAAAAAAAAAAAAAGGCACACACACCGUAAAAACACACACACACACACCGUAAACACACACACACACACACACACACACACACACACACACACACACACACACACUAGCCGGGCGAGGUGGCGGGCGCCUGUAGUCCCAGCUACUUGGGAGGCUGAGGCAGGCGAAUGGCGUGAACCCAGGAGGCGGAGCUUGCAGUGAGCGGAGAUCACGCCACUGCACUCCAGCCUGGGCGACAGAGCAAGGUUCCAUCAAAAAAGAAAAGAAAAGAAACCGGCGGGCCAUCCGCGGCCGGUCCAGCUCCCGUCGCAGCGGCUGGGACCCACACCAGGCCAUUCACGGGGGUGCCAUAGGGCAGCUGCGUGCAGUGUUUGGGUAGCAGGACGCAGACGGCGGGGUCGCGGGGGCUUCGGGGUGUCCUCGGCCCCAGGCCGUCCAGCCCUGUGGACCGAAUGAAGUCCCGCACGCCACGUGUUGAGGUAGUAGUAGGUGCCCCUUGUGCGGGGUCAGCCCUCCUGCAGGCGGUGCUCACGGUACGGGCUGGCGAAAGUGGAGACGGACGGCAGGAUGGAUUCACUUGGCCACAUGGCCGGGAGCUAGGACGACGCACACCGGAACGUGAGGAACACUAGUAGUUCAAGAAAAUGCUGAAGGUGACCUUGGCUGAGAAGCUAGGAUAGGCUGACGAAGUCAGACUUAGUGUAGGAACCUGGUAAGCGAUGGAUCGAUGUUAGCUGUCUUCACUUAUUGCACUAGUAUAAUCAGUUUGAUGAUACAUACUUUAGCCCCAGCUGUUACUUAAGACCUGGUUUCACAUUUUAUGUUCUUUUUCCUGUGCAGGCUGGGAAAGGGUUUCUUCUGGCCAUAAAAACUACUCCAAUGGCUGUGGCAGACUAAAUUCCAAUUCCGGUUGAUACAGCCAUCAAUCUCCCGCUAGCUGGAGGAUGGUGUGCUGCAGCUCACAGGUGUGGAUGCUCAAGUGGGCUUUCAAAGAUUUCAUGAGAGGGAGGGUUCAUCUAUUAGGCACAUUUUCCAAAUAUAGGCAUUUCAUUGUAUAAGACCCCAAAUGUGAGAGGGUGUUCAUUUCAAUAUUUUAUAGAGUUCCUAAUAUGCCAUCAUAUAUAUGUUGAGUUGUUUAGUUUAGUACUUGGCUACUCACAAAGUAAUAAAACAUUUAAAUCACUUAACCAUAAAAUUCUUGAUAACCAAAAGGCUUUUCUUUCUAUUGGUAGUUUAACAUUCAGCUUUCUUUUUUAGGGCAAAGGAGAUAGAACUGGAUGAAAUGAGAGAAUAUUUUUUUUUAGUUGAACUCUGGUUAAUGCCAAAAGUGUUCAAUCGCUAUGUGUGGGGAAGUUUCCUGGUACAAAGGAAAAAAAGAAAAACAGGUUGUUCAUACAUUUGGCUGCGUUAGUAAGUGGUAAACAGAAUUAAAUUUUUCUUAUGUGAACUC
rnacentral:lncRNA from 1 species